AUAAUCUUCACAAUCAUAAGCUCAGAUAUGGACAUGAAAUUCAUAUUAUUUGUCGUUGUAGCAGUCGGAAUGCUGGAUAUUGCAACUUGUUUAACUCCGUUCCAACUCAGAUUUAGGAUCAGCAAAGCCCUCUGUGCACCAGUUUCAGGACACGAAAAAGAUAUCGUUCCAUGUUAUCAGUUUCAUACCAACAAAACAGUUCAAGCAAAAGAUUGUGGAAAAAAACGAAUACCCAUUGCUGUAUGUACAAUUGUACUUGCAUCAUGAAAGGAGCUGGCACAAAGCGCGGUAUUAUCCCGAAUGAAUACAAGUUGCCGCCUUCUUUGCUUAAAUUCAACAGCAGUGGAAACUUCACCAAUCGCUUAACGAAGUGUGUACCCGAGUCGACUCCAAACACAACUUCUCAGCCGAAACCAACUGUGGGCAUCCAGAAUCUUCCGAA